UACGUAGGGUCGAGCGUUUGAUCGGAAUUACUGGGCGUAAAGCGUGCGCAGGCGGUCCGUUAAGACAGAUGUGAAAUCCCCGGGCUUAACCUGGGAACUGCAUUUGUGACUGGCGGACUCGAGUAUGGCAGAGGGGGUAGAAUUCCACGUGUAGCAGUGAAAUGCGUAGAGAUGUGGAGGAAUACCGAUGGCGAAGGCAGCCCCUGGGCCCAAUACUGACGCUCAU
rnacentral:rRNA from 1 species